rnacentral:rRNA from 1 species
GACGAACGCUGGCGGCGUGCCUAAUACAUGCAAGUCGAGCGGACCGACGGGAGCUUGCUCCCUUAGGUCAGCGGCGGACGGGUGAGUAACACGUGGGUAACCUGCCUGUAAGACUGGGAUAACUCCGGGAAACCGGGGCUAAUACCGGAUGCUUGAUUGAACCGCAUGGUUCAAUCAUAAAAGGUGGCUUUCAGCUACCACUUACAGAUGGACCCGCGGCGCAUUAGCUAGUUGGUGAGGUAACGGCUCACCAAGGCGACGAUGCGUAGCCGACCUGAGAGGGUGAUCGGCCACACUGGGACUGAGACACGGCCCAGACUCCUACGGGAGGCAGCAGUAGGGAAUCUUCCGCAAUGGACGAAAGUCUGACGGAGCAACGCCGCGUGAGUGAUGAAGGUUUUCGGAUCGUAAAACUCUGUUGUUAGGGAAGAACAAGUACCGUUCGAAUAGGGCGGCACCUUGACGGUACCUAACCAGAAAGCCACGGCUAACUACGUGCCAGCAGCCGCGGUAAUACGUAGGUGGCAAGCGUUGUCCGGAAUUAUUGGGCGUAAAGCGCGCGCAGGCGGUUUCUUAAGUCUGAUGUGAAAGCCCCCGGCUCAACCGGGGAGGGUCAUUGGAAACUGGGGAACUUGAGUGCAGAAGAGGAGAGUGGAAUUCCACGUGUAGCGGUGAAAUGCGUAGAGAUGUGGAGGAACACCAGUGGCGAAGGCGACUCUCUGGUCUGUAACUGACGCUGAGGCGCGAAAGCGUGGGGAGCGA